GACAGAGGGUGCAAACGUUGUUCGGAAUUACUGGGCGUAAAGCGUGUGUAGGCGGCCAUGUAAGUCGGGUGUGAAAGCCCCAGGCUCAACCUGGGAAGUGCACUCGAUACUGCGUGGCUUGAGUAUCGGAGAGGUUGGUGGAAUUCUCGGUGUAGAGGUGAAAUUCGUAGAUAUCGAGAGGAACACCGGUGGCGAAGGCGGCCAACUGGACGAAUACUGACGCUGAGACACGAAAGCGUGGGGAGCAAACAGG
rnacentral:rRNA from 1 species